rnacentral:rRNA from 1 species
AUACGUAGGUGGCAAGCGUUGUCCGGAAUUAUUGGGCGUAAAGCGCUCGCAGGCGGUUCUUUAAGUCUGAUGUGAAAUCUUGCGGCUCAACCGCAAACGUGCAUUGGAAACUGGAGGACUUGAGUGCAGAAGAGGAGAGUGGAAUUCCACGUGUAGCGGUGAAAUGCGUAGAGAUGUGGAGGAACACCAGUGGCGAAGGCGACUCUCUGGUCUGUAACUGACGCUGAGGAGCGAAAGCGUGGGGAGCGAACAGGAUUAGAUACCCUGGUAGUCCACGCCGUAAACGAUGAGUGCUAGGUGUUAGGGGGUUUCCGCCCCUUAGUGCUGAAGUUAACGCAUUAAGCACUCCGCCUGGGGAGUACGGCCGCAAGGCUGAAACUCAAAAGAAUUGACGGGGACCCGCACAAGCGGUGGAGCAUGUGGUUUAAUUCGAAGCAACGCGAAGAACCUUACCAGGUCUUGACAUCCUUUGACCGCUCUAGAGAUAGAGUUUUCCCUUCGGGGACAAAGUGACAGGUGGUGCAUGGUUGUCGUCAGCUCGUGUCGUGAGAUGUUGGGUUAAGUCCCGCAACGAGCGCAACCCUUAAUCUUAGUUGCCAGCAUUCAGUUGGGCACUCUAAGGUGACUGCCGGUGACAAACCGGAGGAAGGUGGGGAUGACGUCAAAUCAUCAUGCCCCUUAUGACCUGGGCUACACACGUGCUACAAUGGACGGAACAAAGGGAAGCGAACCCGCGAGGUCCAGCAAAUCCCAUAAAACCGUUCUCAGUUCGGAUUGCAGGCUGCAACUCGCCUGCAU